rnacentral:lncRNA from 1 species
CAUAGAGAUAUUGUUCCGAGAGCCUUCUCCUGUAAUUAUCCUGACCAUGUUGCUGUUCUCCUUAAGCGCUUAAACCGCACAUUUCGUUCACAUCCUUGCCUGACAAAAAAUGUAAGCAUCAUUGUUCUAUCAUUAUAUUCAUAUUCAUAUAAAUAUACAUCAUUUAUUUCAUAUUUACAUUAAUUUCUUUGUAUAUAUUUUCAGAAGCUAUUGUAUUCACCAAUGGGAAAAAUAUUCAUUCUCCAACCGGAUGAGAAGACAUCACCUCCACAUCCUUUACUCCCUUCAGAAAACGCCUUCUAUGCGCUUGAUAGUACUAUACAUGGAUACUCUUCAAGAGUUCUAAGCACUUUUCUCAAUCAACC